GAUGAACGCUAGCGGCAGGCCUAAUACAUGCAAGUCGAACGGUAAGGCCCUUUCGGGGGUACACGAGUGGCGGACGGGUGCGUAACGCGUAUGCAACAUGCCUUCCAGCGGGGGAUAUACCAGGGAAACUUGGCGCAAUACCCCAUAGAAUUACGGGACCGCAUGGUCUUGUGAUUAAAACUCCGGUGCUGUGAGAUUGGCAUGCGUGACAUUAGCUAGUUGGUAGGGUAAAGGCCUACCAAGGCGACGAUCUGUAGCUGGUCUGAGAGGAUGGCCAGCCACACUGGAACUGAGACACGGUCCAGACUCCUACGGGAGGCAGCAGUGGGGAAUAUUGGACAAUGGGGGCAACCCUGAUCCAGCCAUGCCGCGUGUGUGAAGAAGGCCUCGGUUGUAAG
rnacentral:rRNA from 1 species